rnacentral:sRNA from 1 species
CCUGAAAUGAUUAGGAUUCGAUGUCGAUGUAGAG